rnacentral:rRNA from 1 species
GAUGAACGCUGGCGGCGUGCCUAAUACAUGCAAGUCGAGCGAACGGACGAGAAGCUUGCUUUUCUGAUGUUAGCGGCGGACGGGUGAGUAACACGUGGAUAACCUACCUAUAAGACUGGGAUAACUUCGGGAAACCGGAGCUAAUACCGGAUAAUAUUUUGAACCGCAUGGUUCAAAAGUGAAAGACGGUCUUGCUGUCACUUAUAGAUGGAUCCGCGCUGCAUUAGCUAGUUGGUAAGGUAACGGCUUACCAAGGCAACGAUGCAUAGCCGACCUGAGAGGGUGAUCGGCCACACUGGAACUGAGACACGGUCCAGACUCCUACGGGAGGCAGCAGUAGGGAAUCUUCCGCAAUGGGCGAAAGCCUGACGGAGCAACGCCGCGUGAGUGAUGAAGGUCUUCGGAUCGUAAAACUCUGUUAUUAGGGAAGAACAUAUGUGUAAGUAACUGUGCACAUCUUGACGGUACCUAAUCAGAAAGCCACGGCUAACUACGUGCCAGCAGCCGCGGUAAUACGUAGGUGGCAAGCGUUAUCCGGAAUUAUUGGGCGUAAAGCGCGCGUAGGCGGUUUUUUAAGUCUGAUGUGAAAGCCCACGGCUCAACCGUGGAGGGUCAUUGGAAACUGGAAAACUUGAGUGCAGAAGAGGAAAGUGGAAUUCCAUGUGUAGCGGUGAAAUGCGCAGAGAUGUGGAGGAACACCAGUGGCGAAGGCGACUUUCUGGUCUGUAACUGACGCUGAUGUGCGAAAGCGUGGGGAUCAAACAGGAUUAGAUACCCUGGUAGUCCACGCCGUAAACGAUGAGUGCUAAGUGUUAGGGGGUUUCCGCCCCUUAGUGCUGCAGCUAACGCAUUAAGCACUCCGCCUGGGGAGUACGACCGCAAGGUUGAAACUCAAAGGAAUUGACGGGGGCCCGCACAAGCGGUGGAGCAUGUGGUUUAAUUCGAAGCAACGCGAAGAACCUUACCAAAUCUUGACAUCCUUUGACAACUCUAGAGAUAGAGCCUUCCCCUUCGGGGGACAAAGUGACAGGUGGUGCAUGGUUGUCGUCAGCUCGUGUCGUGAGAUGUUGGGUUAAGUCCCGCAACGAGCGCAGCCCUUAAGCUUAGUUGCCAUCAUUAAGUUGGGCACUCUAAGUUGACUGCCGGUGACAAACCGGAGGAAGGUGGGGAUGACGUCAAAUCAUCAUGCCCCUUAUGAUUUGGGCUACACACGUGCUACAAUGGACAAUACAAAGGGCAGCGAAACCGCGAGGUCAAGCAAAUCCCAUAAAGUUGUUCUCAGUUCGGAUUGUAGUCUGCAACUCGACUACAUGAAGCUGGAAUCGCUAGUAAUCGUAGAUCAGCAUGCUACGGUGAAUACGUUCCCGGGUCU